CAUGCCACAAGACGCCGGCCCGAGGGUGUGCACAGAGUGCUGUCCCACCGGCCGGGAGUUAGGAGAGGGCCGUGCAGGAGUUGGACCGGCGAGAGGAGCACGCGGCUGAGCUAAGGGUGAGGAAACCGGACCCAGCCUUGCCAAGCCCGGGCACCGCAGGGCGGCACCUGCUUUCCAUGGCCACCACCCUGCUGCCCGCUCUGCUGCUCCUGACGCUGCUGAAGAUGACCACCAUAAGUGAAUCACUUUCUGAGCAGAGUCCACGACUUACUGAUCCCGAGUCCUGCAGCCCCAAAGAGUACAAAUCUGCCGGCCAUUGCUGUGAGCUCUGUCCUGCGGGUGAGUCCUGGGACAGCCCAAUGCCAGAGUGUGGACUUAGGUGGCCUUUUAA
rnacentral:lncRNA from 1 species